rnacentral:misc_RNA from 1 species
GAAAUGCGAUACGCAAUGCGAAUUGCAGAAAUCCGCGAGACAUUAGAUCUUCGAACGCAAUCUGCACUAAGGGGAAACUCCCUUUAGUAUACUUGUUUCAGUGUAAUUGAUUAUAAUAUAACUAAAUGUGAUUGAUUUUGAUGAAAAAUCUCUCAUUAAGUCAGCAUAUACACAUAUAUCAUAACCAAUGAAGUAGUCACUUAUCUUAUUCAUAAGAUUUGUGAUUUCAUUGGAUCACAAAUGAUUUAUGAAAAGUAUAUAGAAAACUAAAAAGCCUAUAAUUCAUAAUCGAUACCUGAGAUCAAGUAAGGCUACCCGCUGGAGUUAA